UUAACUAUUCGCUUUCUCCAACUCUGUAUUAAAGGGCAUCCUAGGACCUUGAGGGACAGGCUGUGUCUGGCUCUGCCUACUCCACAAGUACAGUUAAAAGUUCUCUCUAAUUGGUAUGUCCUCUUUGCAGGGCAGUUUUCUGGUUGCUCACAAAAAUUCCUAUUUAUAUAAUCUUGUAGCCAUGGCACCACUUAUGCCUUUCUCAUGCAUUGUCUUAUAAUUCAUGCACUCUGUAAUUGAACAGAGACCUUUUUUCACUAUAUAUUUCCUGCUUUAUUGACCUCUUCAUCUCAUGCAGAAAUUUCAUGAUCUUUUGUGUUACAAUGUGUGAAUAAUCUCAUCAAGUUUCUGCUAUGCCAAUCAUAAUUUUCAGAAUCUGUUAUUCUUUCUAAUCACUCUUAUUGAUCUUCUAUUUAUUUUCAAAUGUCUACAAAUUUGUAGGAUCUUUGGAAGAUUGACACACUAUCCUAUUGAUUCUUCUAUGAAACUUUUACAAAUAAUCUAAAAUCUCACUCUUAAUUUUAAUAACCUCUGCUAGAUCAACAGCAACAAUGAUAAUAUCUCUGUGAAAUAUGGCAUGUUGUUAAUGACUUCAGGCUUGUUAGCCUGGCCAAUAUAGUGAAAUCACUGUGAUGCUCUGAUAUGAAGUUCAGAGCAUAACAUUGUGAUGCACUUUUCUGGAAGUGAACUUGACUUAUGGUAAACUUAGUUUACCAUAUUCUUGUGGGUCAGGCAUGGACUUGAACCAUUUUAAUUGUAUAAUCAGCCUGGAAUUUCAAAAAGUCAGUGGGCAGGAUAAUAAGCACCAAACAUCUUAACUUCUUAGUCCUUUAAGUGAAACAAAGGCUAGAAUUUAUUUCCUGGGGAGUAAACACAGAAGAAGCAUCUUUAAAAAAGAAUUGAACUCAAAAUAUCUAAACUCUCUGUGAAUCAAAACUAAUUAGAUCUACAACUGUCAGUUUGGCUAAGAACAGUGUCAGUUGUUUCCAGGAGCUUCUAUAUUUUUUUUUUCUUUCUCUCCAAGCCUAACAUUGCUAAUGUUGUACUUAUUGCUUCUUAAUUUUACUCUCAUCUUCGUGACACUGACUGAUCAUCCAAACACUAUCUGCUACUGUGCCAGAGCCUCCUGGGUAAUAAAAGUGCCAAUGCUUGAUAAGUGUCUGCCAGAUAAAGUGCAUGUUGGUUCAGAAGAAGCUGUGCCAACUGUAAUGCAAAAAGCAAUGAAUAAAGACAGGAAAAGACUAUAAAAAUUACUUUAACUUUUGGUUAUUGAAACUGUGCAUGUUCAAGUAAAUCAAAUGUUGCAAGUGUCAGUGCAGCCUAAUUUUAUUUCUCAUCAAAUGAAACAGCAACUGAAAGUAUGAUAUUUUUCUAUAUGUCUAGCUCUCUGUUGGGAUAUAUAGUGAUUAAGUCUUUGCUAUGUUUGGCUAUUUUUUUAUAAAAGAUGAGUUGGUAAUAUAAGCCCAUUUAUGAGUGAAAGAAAAUAUACAUAAUUUAAAAACUUAACACAAAGCCCAUAAAGAAAGAGAGAUCUAGAGAUGGAAGUGCAAUGUCUGUGUGUUCUGGAUCAGAAUGUGGUGGUUAAUCAGAAAGAACUGUGGUGCAGUAAGAUUAUAGUAAUUUUACUCAAACAAAAAUACGCUUUGGAGGGAGAAGGAAUAUGAAAAGGGCCAGGGAAUUGGAUUCUGUAUGUGAUCAGAAGAUACCUUCAUCCACAGAAGCGUAUGAAUCCUUUUCUGACAAUUUUGCAUAUCCUUAGUGAGGAAUAAGAAGUUUAGGAAUACUGCAUAAUUCAAUGUAUUUGGCUUUGUUAAAGAAGAUCCAUGAACUCAAGGCACAUGGAUGAUUCUGCUCAUGAAGUUUACUUAGUUCAGGUCAUGCAUACGGGGAAUGUACAAAAUGUCUCCUGUUUUGACAGACUUGUUCAGGAUGGGAAAACAGUCAUCCUAGAGUCCUUGAAUAUUUAAAUUACCAGGUAGUUCAGUAAGUGAAAUAGUGACAUGUACUCCAGGUUGUUCUGAUCAGCAGAACUGUGCUCAAAGGGAUUGUAGCAGCAAUACUUUGAGAACAGAUAGCAAAGUGAAGAACGACAGCCAUGAAAGAGAAAGUCACUUUUGAAAGGUUUACUUUUGAUUUUUACAUUACUCUUCAAACAUAUCAGGGCAGAAUAGUCAGGACUAAUGAAUCUCCUUUUAAUAGCUCUUCUGCUGUUUUAUCAGCGAAGAAGAGGAGCAGAGGGAAGUUUCUACUAUAAGCACUGUUGUAAUUCAUUCACAGAAAGGCAAAACUAAUUCAAGAACAGAAAGGUUUGUUAUGGGAAGGCUGUGUGGCCUUUGAAUGAUGACUUCUGUGGAGUCCAUCUAUGUCCUAGCAAGAGGAAAAUAUCUACAUCUGUUUUGAAAAUGCAUUUUAAUAUUUCCCCAUUUGAGUUUUUAAAUCAGAUUUUAAAAUUAAAUCUCAUUUGCGUUUUUAAAUCAGGUGAAGCUGGUGCACUGGGCUGGAUCAGAUCCACUUCUACCUUUUUAAAAGCAUGGAAAAAUUCCAGAGGCAGCAUCUGCUUAACCUUUCCUACCUCUCUUGUGGAAAAGGAUGUGUUUUUUUAUAUCACCCAAUGUGCUGGGUAUUACAUGUGUUAUUUAGGUCUCCUAAUUCUACUUUUCUACAAAUCAGCCACUCUGAUAUGUAUAUUAGUAGGUAGCUGGGGUAAUUUUUUAUGUUGGACAGACCAGUAAAAUGCAGUGAAGCAUGCAACAAUAACCACAAAUGUCCAUCACUGGAUGUUUUAUUACUGUGUUGAAGCAUUUGAUUUGUUUGCCUGCAAGGACAGAAUCUCCUUAAGGCUUAGCAGAGUCUUGAUUUGAAUGCCUCUGGGGUCAAGUGUAUGUGUCAUGACAAACUUCAGCAGCCCUGUGAAGUCAUGUAGUUUCUAUCAGUCGGUUUGUGAGUACGCAGCUCGCUCCACUACCACUUUUCCCUUAUAGUCUCUGCAUAUAUAUUAUAAAAUGUUCUCUUUCCAUUUGUCUCCCCUGGUAACGACUUCUUAUCUCAUCAAAAUUGUAGCAUAUUGAACUUCAUAUCUUCCUUCUCUUAUACUGAGUUCCCUAGGAACAAACCCUGUCGAAAGUGCAGGAUGAAAGGGGUUAUCAUAUUUCUCUGUAACCUGCCUGUUUCCCUUGUAGAUUUUGCUAUAACCAUUAUGGAAACUUUCAGAAGUCAUAUACCAGUAAUACCACUGAAACCUACUGUCCUCACAAUGUGUAUGUUUUAUACCAGCUAUGCUAACUUAAGGAUGACAAAAGGGUCCCUCUGGGAACAUCUACGCUUCGUGAGGCCUCCUUGGUGUCCAUGUUCAUGCUCAUGACAUACCCUUGUUCUUUUAUUAUUGUGCAAAAACAUCAUUAAAGCCUUUUGAAUUAAGGUACAAAGUGAAGCCAACAUCAGCCUAUCUUCUGUUCUAGCCGUCUCAUUAUAGACAGUUUUCACAGUGUCAGGAAGGUACCAAUAGGAGCCACUAAAAUCAAUAUUAAAUCUAAUUAUAAAUAUAUUUUUAAAUGGUCUUGAAGAUCAAAAGAAGUGAAGAGAAGGAAUAAGUUUCUUAGAACACUGCCUGAUAAAAUGGCAAGUGAAGUGCAAUGACAAAAAAUGCAAACGACUGUGGAACACAUUCUAUAGUGGUCUAUAUAUCUAUCUACGACACACAUUACAUCCACUUCAUGUGAUCCCAAGUUUGCUUUCACUGUGAUCGCUAUUCUGUGCUGGUAUUGUGGCUAUGAGGAACAAUAUCAAAUUGUUCUGAAUUUUUAAAUCAAUAAUAAUUUUUCAACUAACCCUCAGCCCAAUCCUUUCAGAGACUGUUUAUAUUUAGCUAUUAAAGACACAAAAUAAAAAUUAUUAUAUUUUUGUCCUGUAGGAAGAACAAAAUUAUUUACUCUGACAAAUAAGAAUGGUCUUGUUUUUUUUGACCUUACAGACAGAAUAAAACUGAUGGUAUCUAAUCUAUUUCUAACCAGAACUGACAUAAUGUAAUGCAUCUCUUUAUAUUGAUUCUUUCUGUAAAGCUUUUAGGACUCUGAAUGUUACAUUCUUUCUCUCAUUCUGUGGUAUUAGAACAGACUGAAAUAUUUUAUUUAGAUGGAAAUUAGAUGGUUUUGUCCUCUCUGAUGAAUUCUUUUGAAUGCAAAGCUACUAAAGUCACUGACUUCGAAAACUGUCUCAACUCAGGCCAGCUAAAAUAAAGUUGUUUAUUUGCAUUUAGCAGAACCUGCAGAGAUUGGAGUAGAAGCUCAGCUAAUUUGGUACGGCUCUGAUGUCUACUUUGGGCCACACUUUUUGAAGGAAACUACUGAAUAUGCUUCUCAAAUUAGAAGAGUUCUAUGUUAUGUAAGAAACCACCUAAUCAUGUGUUUUUAAACUAAUUUCAAUGGCUACACCCUUUGCUCUGAAUAAGAUCCAGCUGCUCUAGUGACAAAGAUGCGAUCUGCUCUCUGCAGUGUCUAGAGGUAUCAGAUGGGAAACUGAGUAUCAGAAAUUUGAUGGUGCAGCCCUGACAUAUUUUCCCAGUGACAUCUAUACCUGCUGCUCUUGAGCAACACUCAGAGAGGAAUCAUGAGAGAAAAAGAGAAGAAAGCUCUAGAGAUAAGGGGAGAGUGACCUGCAAGCGAUGAUCCCAUUGGAAUACCUGUUUCAUAUGCAGAGCAAGGAAAACAUGCAGACUUCCAUGCCAGUUUGGUGGCACACGGUAAUGGAGACAGCUGUGGAAGCAUGCUAACAAAACAACACACUGAGUAUUAAUUAGAAGAGUGAAGGACAAAAGUGUCAAGAAGCAACAUAAGGGAAAAUAACUUUGGGAAGAUCAGAAACGAAGAGAAUUUUUAAACAGAUUUCAAAUAAAAUGUUUUAAAAUGUCAAAGUUGAGUGCAUAGUGUAACAUUUAAUUAAGGAAUCUGUAUUGUGUUUUGGUUGAUUUCAGAGACAUCAAAACAGCUCUGAACUUUGUAAGGCAAGAUUUUGGGGGAUACUCAUCUAGGUGGAACUAAUGAUAGAUUGGAGAAAACAAAAAAGCUCUUGGACAUAUAAACAAUUCUACAGGUGUGUUUUCAGACAUCUAAAAAAAAUCAGUAUGUAAUUUCAGUCAAAUAAAACUAGAAAAGAAGCAAAAAAAAAAAAAAGCGUAAGUUAUUUUUUGUAUUUGUGUUUGAACUGCUUUGAUGGGUAACACUGAAAGGCCCGUUCACAGAGCCAGAAAGGGCAAUAAAAUGCUGGGGCUGCUUAAUCCUUGCGAGAGCGUGCGGCCUUCCUACCCUCAGCCAGCUUUAGGAAGAGCAUCAGUAGCCUCCGUGUCUUCCCAGGAGAGCCUUGCAGGUCCCACCACAGUAGCUGGGAGCCAGGGGCUUCACGGAUAUGUGUUUUUGUGCAUGGAAAUCCUGGAAAUCCAGGGGCCUGGCAGUUCAGUGAGGACAUGCCAGGGCAAGUUUCAAGGUACCCUUUAGGAAAGCAUCAACAACGGUGAGAUGAUGCUUUGAAGCCACAUCCUUUUUGAGCUGUUUUUUCCUUCUUCCUCUUGGGUUGCACCUCACUGCUUUUUCAGUCAUCUGCACAUCCCCCCUCCCUUCAUUUAUUCAGGAUGUUUUGCUUUAUAAGUGGCAUUUCAGGACUCUGCUUUUAACCCUGCUUCCUUUUGUGCAGUUGGGCUCCUGGAAAAAUAAUGCAGAGGAAUGAGUACAACACAUCCUUUGGAGAUCGCCUAAUUGCCACUUUUCUUUUAUACCAUAAUUUGUCCUUCCUUUUCAGCUUGAGCAGAAAGUCUGCUUAUCUGUUUAAUUUCUGAGACUGCUAGUCUAUUUUAUAAAUCACAUAUCAUGAAAAGGAUACAUUGUACUUGUCUCAUAUCAAUCCACACACUUUGGAUCACUGUCAGGUCUUCACAGUAUCACAGUAUCACAGUAUGUUAGGGAUUGGAAGGGACCUCAAAAGAUCAUCUAGUCCAAUCCCCCUGCUGGAGCAGGAACGCCUAGGUGAGGUCGCACAGAAACAUGUCCAGGCGGGUUUUGAAUGUCUCCAGAGAAGGAGACUCCACAACCUCCCUGGGCAGCCUGUUCCAGUGCUCUGUCACCCUUACUGAGAAGAAGUUUUUUCUCAA